AUUGAACGCUGGCGGCAGGCCUAACACAUGCAAGUCGAGCGGAUGAAGGGAGCUUGCUCCUGGAUUCAGCGGCGGACGGGUGAGUAAUGCCUAGGAAUCUGCCUGGUAGUGGGGGAUAACGUCCGGAAACGGGCGCUAAUACCGCAUACGUCCUGAGGGAGAAAGUGGGGGAUCUUCGGACCUCACGCUAUCAGAUGAGCCUAGGUCGGAUUAGCUAGUUGGUGGGGUAAAGGCCUACCAAGGCGACGAUCCGUAACUGGUCUGAGAGGAUGAUCAGUCACACUGGAACUGAGACACGGUCCAGACUCCUACGGGAGGCAGCAGUGGGGAAUAUUGGACAAUGGGCGAAAGCCUGAUCCAGCCAUGCCGCGUGUGAAGAAGGUCUUCGGAUUGUAAAGCACUUUAAGUUGGGAGGAAGGGCAGUAAGUUAAUACCUGCUGUUUUGACGUUACCAACAGAAUAAGCACCGGCUAACUUCGUG
rnacentral:rRNA from 1 species